AGUGGGAUAGCUGGGUCAUAUGGUAUUCCAUUUCUAGCUUUUUGAGGAAUCUCCAUACUGCUUUUCAGAGUGGUUGCACUAAUUUUCAGUCCCACCAACAAC
rnacentral:pre_miRNA from 1 species